GGGGUUUUCUAGACCUAAAAGCUCAUCACUAUGAAUCAAUCGAAGCACAAGUAGACCAACACUCGAAUCCUUGGGUUGGCCAGGUAAGAGGUAAAAUUUGUGGGAGGUUCCCCUCGCUCUCACGAGGUCCUAAUUAAGUAACCAUAAUUCACUUAGGUAUUUGCCAUGUACCUCUAGCCUUAGACACCAGCUUAUGGAGUCAACUGUAGAUCGAACUCGCACUAAGACU
rnacentral:lncRNA from 1 species